ACAGGUGCUGCAUGGCUGCGUCAGCUCGUGUCGUGAGAUGUUGGGUUAAGGUCCGUAACGAGCGCAACCCUUGUCCUUAGUUACCAGCACGUUAUGGUGGGCACUCUAAGGAGACUGCCGGUGACAAACCGGAGGAAGGUGGGGGAUGACGUCAAGUCAUCAUGGCCCUUACGGCCUGGGCUACACACGUGCUACAAUGGUCGGUACAAAGGGUUGCCAAGCCGCGAGGUGGAGCUAAUCCCAUAAAACCGAUCGUAGUCCGGAUCGCAGUCUGCAACUCGACUGCGUGAAGUCGGAAUCGCUAGUAAUCGUGAAUCAGAAUGUCACGGUGAAUACGUUCCCGGGCCUU
rnacentral:rRNA from 1 species